GACCGGGAUGGACAUACCUCUGGUGUACCAGUUGUUCUGCCAAGAGCACCGCUGGGUAGCUACGUAUGGAUUAGAUAAUCGCUGAAAGCAUCUAAGUGAGAAACUAACCUCGAGAUGAGAUUUCCCAUUCGUCAGAAGUAAGACCCCUGAGAGACGAUCAGGUAGAUAGGCUAGAAGUGGAAGUGUAGUGAUGCAUGGAGCGGACUAGUACUAAUAGGUCGAGGACUUAACCAAG
rnacentral:rRNA from 1 species